UACAGAGGGGGCAAGCGUUGUUCGGAAUUACUGGGCGUAAAGGGCGCGUAGGCGGCCUUCUAAGUCGAACGUGAAAUCCCCGGGCUCAACCCGGGAACUGCGUCCGAUACUGGAAGGCUUGAAUCCGGGAGAGGGAUGCGGAAUUCCAGGUGUAGCGGUGAAAUGCGUAGAUAUCUGGAGGAACACCGGUGGCGAAGGCAGCUCGCUGGGACGGUACUGACGCUGAGA
rnacentral:rRNA from 1 species